rnacentral:rRNA from 1 species
AAACAUGUNUUUUUGAGUUUAAUUUAAAGUCUAGUCUGCCCCACUGAUUUAAAAUAAUUAAAGGGCUGCAGUAUUUUGACUGUACAAAGGUAGCAUAAUCAUUAGUCUCUUAAUUGGUGACUUGUAUGAAGGAUUUGAUGAAAUAUAAACUGUCUCUUAUUAAUUUAUAAAAUUUAAUUUUUUAGUAAAAAAGCUAAAAUAAUUUUAAAAGACGAGAAGACCCUAUAGAGUUUUAUAAUAAAUUUAAUUAUAUUUUUUAUAUAAAUAUUUUAUUUUUAAUAAAAUUUAUUAUUUUAUUGGGGUGAUAGAAAAAUUUAAUAAACUUUUUUUAAAAAUAAAACAUAAAUAAGUGAAUGUAUGAUCCGUUAUUAACGAUUAUAAGAAUAAAUUACCUUAGGGAUAACAGCGUAAUUUUUUUUUUUAGUUCAAAUAAAAAAAAAAGUUUGCGACCUCGAUGUUGGAUUAAGAUAAAAUUUAAAUGCAAAAGUUUAAAAUU